GGCCUAAAACAUGCAAGUCGAACGCCCGUAGCGAUACGGGAGUGGCAGACGGGUGAGUAACACGUGGGAACGUGCCCUUUGGUUCGGAACAACACAGGGAAACUUGUGCUAAUACCGGAUAAGCCCUUACGGGGAAAGAUUUAUCGCCAGAGGAUCGGCCCGCGUCUGAUUAGCUAGUUGGUGAGGUAACGGCUCACCAAGGCUACGAUCAGUAGCUGGUCUGAGAGGAUGAUCAGCCACACUGGGACUGAGACACGGCCCAGACUCCUACGGGAGGCAGCAGUUAGGAAUCUUGGACAAUGGGCGCAAGCCUGAUCCAGCCAUGCCGCGUGAGUGAUGAAGGCCUUAGGGUUGUAAAGCUCUUUCAGCGGGGAAGAUAAUGACGGUACCCGCAGAAGAAGCCCCGGCUAACUUCGUGCCAGCAGCCGCGGUAAUACGAAGGGGGCUAGCGUUGCUCGGAAUCACUGGGCGUAAAGCGCACGUAGGCGGCUUUCUAAGUCAGGGGUGAAAUCCUGGAGCUCAACUCCAGAACUGCCUUUGAUACUGGAAAGCUUGAGUCCGGAAGAGGUGAGUGGAACUCCGAGUGUAGAGGUGAAAUUCGUAGAUAUUCGGAAGAACACCAGUGGCGAAGGCGGCUCACUGGUCCGG
rnacentral:rRNA from 1 species